rnacentral:lncRNA from 1 species
UCAAAAAAAAAAAUUCAAAAAAGACUGUAAAAUGCUAAAGAAGAAAGAUCAUCUGAAGACACAUUAUCCAGAUACAAUAACUUGUACUAGGUAGGUGCUAAUAAAUGUACUGAUUGGGUAAAUGAACUGGUGGGUAGAGCACAUUUGGCUUGAUUCCUGCUCCCUGUCAUUGGGCAAUUAAGUUAUGUGUUGUUUUUCAGCGUGGUAGAUGACUGACUUCUGGAGUUUGCUGCAUCAAGCAAGAUGGAAGAUGGGAAACCAGUGAACUGAGUCAGCCUGACUUGGCUUCCACACAGGGCCUCUGACCCUAAGAGCAGAUCCCACCUGACCACAGAAGGUGAGACCAAAGGACCAAGAAUAUGAAAACUGGAUGUCAAAGCCUUUUCAGCCCCAGCUUCUGGUGGCUCCAGGAGUCCUUUGACCUGUGGCUGCAAUGCUAUAGUCUCUGCCUCCAUCUUCAUGUGGUCUUCGUCUCUGCAUGUCUCAAGUCUCCCUCUGUGUACCACUUAAUAAGGACUUGUUGCUGGAUUUACGGUCCACAUGGAUAAUCCAGGAUGAUCUCAUCUCAGAAUCCUUAAUUACAUUUGCAAAGGUUCUUUUACCAGGUAAGGC